rnacentral:rRNA from 1 species
GACGUAGGGGGCGAGCGUUGUCCGGAUUCAUUGGGCGUAAAGCGCGCGCAGGCGGCCCGGUAAGUCGGAUGUGAAAUCCCACGGCUCAACCGUGGAACUGCAUUCGAUACUGUCGGGCUAGAGGCAGGUAGGGGAGAUCGGAAUUCCUGGUGUAGCGGUGAAAUGCGCAGAUAUCAGGAAGAACACCCGUGGCGAAGGCGGCUCUCUGGGACGGUACUGACGCUGAGACGCGAAAGCGUGGGGAGCGAACAGG